GAGGAUAAGAGCUCAGUGGUAGAGUGUGUGCUUAGCAUGCACAGGGUCCCCGGGUUCAAUCCCUUGUAUCUCUA
rnacentral:tRNA from 1 species